GCUACAGAUCAUACUCCCUCUCUUUCUUGUUUGCACCUGAAAGGUAUUACCAUUCUGUACAGUGAGCAUCAAGGGCUGCUUGAAUUAAUGCCAUGGGAAGUUUGCACUAAGCAUCGCACUCUUGGCGGGAUGCUAGGAAGCGACGACACCUCCAGCAGCCGCAACGAAGGCAAUGCCCUCCGGUCUGCGAAGCCCUGCGCAGCUCUCAGCAGGCAGUGCACUGCAGACACAACGCCUGCAAGGUCGGGAUUUGAUGAAAUUCAGUAUCAGGAAAAAAGUGAACUGGAAACAGAACGAAGCCGUAACUACGCCGUUCUGAUGGGCAGUACAAUGGACUGACUAAUUGGAAAUGGGAUUGCUAAGAUGCAUCUUGAUUAUUCACCAGCUUUUAAACUCCAUCCAGGAUCACAGAACAGAGAUAAGUCCUGCUUGCUGUUGCUGUUUUUCUGUCAGAAAGAACAUGUGUCCACAUCAUUUUCAAGCUCUGCCCUUCGCAUAUGCAGGUCGUUACAGAUGAAAUGUAUUCUCGAUGUUGUUUUGCUCACUACUCCCAUGCAGAGAUGGACAUUGCCUCGUACAUUGUAAUCCCCAAGUUACUACUCUCAGAAUAAGUGUUGCAAUAUGAGUAUGUUGUCUGAGCUGUAUUUCCAGCCUCUCUUUUUGGCUUUUGAAAUCAUAUGCAAUAUUGCUGCAAUGUAGAUUUUUAGUUUGCUUGCUUUACACUCUCUUGUUUGAAGUUAAGCCCCCUUCUGGAUGUGAAGCGGAUGUCAGCUUAGGUCCUUGCCUGCCUUCAAAUUAUGGUCUCAGAAGAAGAAGGAUGGACUCCUUUUUCCACUACUGUUUGGAAUAUUCUUGGGACUGUCAAAGGGAGCUGAGACCUGAGGGUAAGCUGUCUCUUGACUCUUCUCCCUGGUCAUAGUGUCUCUUUUAAUCAGGCCAAGUUCACAGCUUGAGCUGGAGGUUCUGCGUAGGUCUUCAGUUAUGACUACUGGUCUGUGGGACGCUUCCAUCUACUUACUGCGUUGCUGUUUUCUUUGGAAGAUAAGAGUUUAAGGCUGAAGUACAGGAAAGCUGGCUCCCUGGCUUUAUCCUCACAACAUCCUUUGGUGGCUUAGACCCACAGCCUAGACAGUACAGUAGGUGCCACCGGAGGCUGUGCAGGGCAAUGAAGGAAGGAAGAAGAUUUGUGGGGGAGGAGCAUCCCAUCACUGCCAAGCCAGCCAGGAACUGCCACCAUCAUAGCCUGACAUAGCCUGUGGGGAAAGGGUACUCCAGAACUGGGAUCCAGCCCUGGUGGCAGCUGGACCACCCUGAGCUACCACAUCAAGUUUUAGUCUGC
rnacentral:lncRNA from 1 species